rnacentral:rRNA from 1 species
AUGAAAACCUAUCACCGGCAACAUGAGACGACCUUUGCGUCGGGGAUCUGGUUAGGGAAGAAGCUUGAAGAAAUGAGAGAUGACAGUCGGUGGAAGAUGCUGGCAGAUUUCUGGACUGAAAUGAUAUUGUACGCAGCUCCAUCGGACAAUGCAAAGGAUCAUAUACAGCAUCUGGCAAAUGGAGGUGAGUUUCUAACACACCUGUGGGCGUUGCUCUCCCACGCUGGCAUUCUAGAGAGGGAUCAACAGAUCCAUGGCCAUCCUCCUGCAGAAUGUUUUGCACCUCGCGAAGCAACAACCUAUGCUGAUGAGCAGACGUGCAGAAAUGAUCAGCAGCUGGAUCCACUGCUUCACUCCCGUUCCGUUCAAGCUACACAGCUACGGCAAACGGAGGUAGAAAUGACUGCAUCAAUGGAGCGUCGUAUUGAUAUUUCUGAAGUUUCAAGCUCCACCAAGCAGGCCUGA